UACGUAGGUCCCGAGCGUUGUCCGGAUUUAUUGGGCGUAAAGCGAGCGCAGGUGGUUUAAUAAGUCUGAUGUAAAAGGCAGUGGCUCAACCAUUGUGUGCAUUGGAAACUGUUAGACUUGAGUGCAGUAGAGGAGAGUGGAAUUCCAUGUGUAGCGGUGAAAUGCGUAGAUAUAUGGAGGAACACCGGUGGCGAAAGCGGCCAUCUGGCUGGUAACUGACGCUGAGGUGCGAGAGCGUGGGGAGCAAACAGG
rnacentral:rRNA from 1 species